CUGCGCAGCCUGUGUGUUCACCAAUCCUCUGGAGGUGGUGAAAACACGUCUGCAGCUACA
ensembl:miRNA